AGAUAAAAGACAUGAACAGACAUAUCACCCAAGAGCAUGUUUUACAUUGAACAUCAAAAGAUGUCCAACAUCAUUAGUCAUCAGGGAAAUGCAAAUCAAAGCCACAGUAAGCUAUCACUACACACCUACAAUAAUGGCUAAAAUAAAAAAUAGUGACAACAUCUAAUGCUGGCAAGGAUAUGGAGAAAUUAAAUUAUUCAUGUAUUGCUGGUGGGAAUGUAAAAUGGAACAAACAUUCUGGACAAUAGUUUGGCAGAUUCUUAUAAAACCAAAUAUGCAAUUACUACUGUACAAUUAUACUCUUGGGCAUUUAUCCCACAAAAGUGAAAACGCGUGUUGACACAAAAAUGGGCACAUACAUAUUUACAGCAAUUUUUUUCCUAAUAGCCAAAAAAAUACCCCACUGCGCUUCAAUAAGUGAAUGUUUAAAUAAACUGUGAUACAUCAAUACCAUCAUGGAAUAUUAUUAAGCAAUAAAAUGGAACGAACUAUUGAUACAUGCAACAGCUUGGAUGACUCCAAGGAAUUAUGCUAAGUGAAAAAAGCCCAUUUUCAAAGGUUACAUACAGUAUAAUUUCAUUUACGUAAUGGUCUUGAAAUAAACAAAUUAUAGAAAUGGAGAAGAGAUUGGUAGUUACCAAGUGUUAGGGAUAGCAGAAAUGGCAGAGGGUCAUGGGAAUGGAUGUAGCUAUAAAAUGGCAAAACAGAAUUUUUGUGAUGAUGGAUUGUUCUAGGUCUUGACUGUAGUGGUAGAUACACACACCUACACGUAUUACCAAAAUAGAACAAAGUACACACAUACUUACACAAAAAUGAGUACAAAUGAAAUGGGAAAUCUGAAUACGAUCUGUAGGCCAUACGAAAGUCCAUUCUUUUUUAUUUUUAUUUUUUUUGAUACAGGGUCUCAAAAAAACUACUUUGUUUUUCUUUUUUUCUGAUUACAAAGUUAAUCUGUGUUUAUUGUAGAAAAUGUGGGAAAUGCUUGAAAGCAUAAAGAAGAAAAUAAAGGUAACUCUAAUCUUGCUGCCUGAGAUAAUAAACAUUUUUAACAUUUUAACAUAUUCUGUUUUCUGUGUCUGGGUAUAUAUACAUUUUUUUGCUUAACAAAAAUGGGCCAGGUGUGGUGGCUCACGCCUGUAAUCCCAGCGCUUUGGGAGGCUGACGAGGGCUAAGGCGAGAUGAUCACUUGAGGCCAGGAGUCUGAGACCAACCUGAGCAGCAUAGCAAGACCCUGUCUCUACAAAAAUAAAAGAUACUAGCUAGGUGUGGUGGCACACACCUGUAGUCCUAGCUACUUGGGAGGCUGAGGUGGGAGGAUUGCCUGAGCCCAGGAGUUCAAGGUUGCAGUGACCUGUUUGCCAUUGCACUCCAACCUGGAUGACAGAGCAAGACCUUUCUAAAAAAAAAAAAAAAAUGGUGAGGGAAGGGGGCAUAUUGGAGACACUGUUUUGCAACUUGCUUUUUUCAAAUUAGUUUUUUGCCCUGAACAUUAUCUUUUCUUCUUUUUUAUACAAGAAGAUACUCCUGAGAAUGCUGAAGCAUCAAACGACUGAAUUAAUGGUGACUGGGGAGUACCAGGUUCUUAUUCUUGGGUGACUGGUGGGAAGGCACUGAGGCAAAGGGAGCCCUCGGGAGGUGGUGGAGGUAAGUUUUAAGCAAGGGGGCACUGUACUGGGUCUGUCUGGAGAGGGUGAGUAUGAGAGAGGAAGGGGAUGGAAGUGGAUGCUAGGAUUCUAGGCAGGUGGGAGCAGCUUCAGGGUACUCUGAGGCUUGUGAUCAUCCCUCAAGGCCUGGCCAGAAUAAGCAUGCUUAUGCCAGAUAGGAAGAGUAAGUAGAAUUUUCUGAGCACUUACUAGGUGCCAGGCACUGUGCUCUAGAUUUGCCAUUUUAAUCCUUUCAACAACCAAGUUUACAUUAUUCCAUUUUAAGGAUGAGAAUAUGCAAGUUCAAAGAGGUUAAGAAAAAUGUCCACAUAGGGCCAGGUGUGAUGUCUCAGGCCUGUAAUCCCAGCACUUUGGGAGGCCAAGGUGGGCAGAUCACCUGAGAUCAGGAGUUUGAGAUCGGCCUAGCCAACAGGGUGAAACCCCAUCUCUACUAAAAAUAUAAAAAAUUAGCUGGGCGUAGUGGCACGUGCCUGUAAUCCCAGCUACUCUGGAGGCCAAGGCAGGAUAAUCAUUUGAACCCAGGAAGCGGAGGUUGCAGUGAGCCAAGAUUGCACCACUGCACUGCAGCCUGGGCGACAGAGAGAGACUCCAUCUCAAAAAAAAAAAAAGAAAAAUGUCCGAGUAUGGCAGAUUGCAUUUUCCCAAAAAUGGCCACAACAGUAUCACUGGUCCCACCUGCUUUCCCCCUUGCUGUGGGCUUGCUUUUCUGAACGCCGUCAUUCCCCUUGCUAUGGCAUCCAUUUCCUCUCACUCAACCUGGGCAAGCCUUUGUGACUUCCUCGAAGACUAGAAUAUGGUGGAAAUGUCACGGCGUGACUUGCAAGACUGGAUUUAAAAAGGCCGAACAUGUCUUUCUGUGAAGAACCUGACCGCCAUGUUGUGAGGAAGCCCAGGCUCUGAACAAAGGCCACAUGCAGGUAUUCUGGCUAAUAGCUCCAACUAGGGCCCCAAGCCAGCCCCUGGCAUCGAUCAUCAGACAUGUGAGAAAAUAUGCCUUCAGAAGAUUUUAGACUCAGCUGUUGAGGCACCUUCAUCCUUCCAGUCUUCCAGCUGAGGCCUCGGAUGUUGUAGAACAGAGACAGAUUGUCCCUAUUACGUCCUGUCCAAAUUCCUGACCCAUAGAAUCCACGAGAAUGAAAAAGGGUUGCUUUAUGCCACUAAGUUUUGAGGUAAUUUGAUACGCAGCAAUAGGUAACCAGUAUAACAGGUGCACACAGACCCAGAAUGUGAAGCUCCACCUCCAGCAUCUCGGCUGUAGCCACUGGCUUCUCCCAUCCCGUCUGUGAAGACCACAGUGUUAGUUUGCCAGGGCUGCUAUAACAAAGUGCCACAGAUUAGGUGGCGGAAACAACUGGAAUUUAUUUUCUCACAGUCUGGGGUGUACAAGUUUGAGAUCAAGAUGUUGGUAGGGUGGCUUUCUUCUGAGGCCUUCCUUCUUGGCUUGUCGAUGGUGUCUUGUGUCCUUCAUGUCGUCUCUCAGUACCUGUGUCCUAAUCUUUUGUAUAAGGACAUCUGUCCUAUUGGAUUAGAUCCCACCCAUAUGGUCUCAUUUUACCUUAAUUGCCUCUCUAAAGGCCCUGUCUCCAAAUACAUUCUGACGUACAAGGGAUUAGAAAUCAAUGUAUGAGUUUUGGGAGGACACAACUGAGUCCAUAGCAGCUAUGCCUAGGGCAUUUUGGAGGUCUGAAGGGGCUGGAGGUCUGGCUCCUCCUAUCCCAUCUAGCUGGCCUCUGGCUUCAUCCGUUACCUUCUAGAGCAGGGGUUUUAGACCUUGGCUCCACAUUAGAAUCAUCCGGUGAGCUCCAAAAAGAACAGUUAUAACCUAGCCCUGCCCCAGAUUAAUUAAAUCAGAAUCUCUGAGGCAGGGCCUGGGUAUCAGCAGGUUUUAAAAGUUCCUUCAUGAUUCUAACAUGCAGCCAGGGUUGAGGCCCACAGCUCUAGGGGUGAAAGAGGUGACAAGAGCGGCGAGCCAGGGAAUGACGGUGCCCCGUUGUAGCAAGCACACUGCUGCUGUGGCUAGAGGGAGAGAAACCAAAAUCAGAAGCAUCCUGACACGUUUCACAUGCCUCUUCCUUCACAGUAUGAAGAGGUUGGGGCAUUACGAAGAAUGAAAAACAGGCCGGGCGUGGUGGCUCACGCCUGUAAUCCCAGCACUUUGGGAAGUUGAGGAGGGUGGAUCACCUGAGGUCAGGAGUUUGAGACCAACUUGACCAACAUGGUGAAACCCCAUCUCUACUAAAAAUACAAAAAUAGCCAGAUGUGGUGGCGCGUGCCUGUAAUCCCAGUGACUUGGGAGGCUGAGGCAGGAGAAUCGCUUGAAACUGGGAGGUAGAGGUUGCAAUGAGUCGAGAUUGUGCCACUGCACUCCAGCCUGGGUGACAGAGCAAGACUCCAUCUCAAAAUAAAUAAAUAAAUAAAUAAAUAAAUAAAUAAAAACAGAAGAGGUAGGGAAAUACCCAUCCCACCAGUUAAAAUGAGAAAUUCUAUUACAUAAAAUAAGAAACAAAACCAAAAAAAGGAAAAGCAGGAAAGCACAAGAUACCUAGUGGAAGUGAAGAAACAGAUGCAUAAGUAGGGGCUGAUAUGAGUCUCCUCUGUGAUAGCCUGGUUUUCGUGUUUUACUUUAGAAAUUUCCAACUGAGCUUAUGGACUUGAUUUUAUAAAAUGCAAAAAUCAACUGUCAGCUUUAUUGUUCAGCCUGGGAACUCACCACCCAGCAGUCAGAAAUCACAGGCUCAGAAUGGGAAGCCGGGGCAGCACCAGCCCGUCCUUAACCGGCUUCAUCCUUGGCCGCACGCACUCAGCAGACCCUGACUCUGCUCAGAUCUUUCCUUCCUUUCCACUCCCAACCCUCCCCAUGGGCUGCUUCUGGGGCUAGAUGCUGCUUGUGAAUUGCCACGGGGGAUGUUGCCUAUUCCCGAAGUCAUUUAUAUUGGUAUUACUACCGUAAAUUCUUUAUGAAAUAAAAAUCAAUAGUCACCGACAUCCUGAGUAGUGAGGAAAAUAAUUGUUUAUGGCACUCAGCUUAAGCUGUUCUGGUAAUCACGUUGAAAAAUACAAUAUUUAUUCAUUAGAUCAAAUUUAAUGAGGCCUCCUGGCAGUAAUUAUAAAAAUUACUGUAGCAGUAAAUUACUAAUGAGUUGUGAUGUGCUUCCUACCUGUGAAGAAGGACUGGGGGUUGAAAAAGCCUGCUACCCAGAUGAGGAGGCGAGGGAGGGAGCCCUGCGGCCCGCGCUGCUCUCUCACCCAAGCAGGGAAGGAUCAGUGUACCCAGACCACAAAAGCAAACAAGAAAAAAAGACUUGAGGACACACAACCAGGGGGAUUCCUGCAGCCGUCGGAGCAGGAUCAAGAUUACAGCAUUCUUUUCCCCAAAGGUGAGCAUCGUCUCAGCGACUUGGUGUUGCUGGCGUGCUGGGGUCACAGAGGAUCACUCAUCUGACGCCUGGGAAGGACAGGGCUUCUUAUUAAGGCUGGGAAAUGAUUCCAGGCACACGCCGCCCUUCAAGUCUGAGGCCUUGACUCCGACCGCCGAGGUGCAGGUUCUGCUCAGCUCUUUCAAAACCAGCCGCAGAGCAUGGCGCCUGCUCUAAUGCAAGCACAGUUGAUGGUUUUUACAAGCUCCUGGGGGUUUCUUCCUGCUCUGAAGGAUCAGAACUGGCUAGAAUUUUGCUCUUUUAUUUAUAGCAGGGAGCUAAGUUUUUUUUUUUUUUUUUUUUGGACGCAAGUAAUUAAUUUUGAUUGAGGAGCUAUAUAUAAAAAAGCCAGAAAAUCUGAUCUGAGGGCAGGCACAGUUUUUAGAGUUAGCAGAGUUAAAUGGAAACAUUAAAUCUUAGGGAAGUAUGGCUGGAUACGGCAUUGUUGUGCAGUUUUCUGGAUUAAUAUGGACGGUAAAUAGCAGCCUUACCACAUAGCAGGGCUAUGUCAAUUCAUCACCGGUAGUCUUUGUUCCCUAGACAUAGAGCCAUGGCCUGCUGAUGAGGGACUAGCUAAACCAGGUUACAGCCUCCCACCCCAUGGGCAGCUGGAAUCUGGGAACCAGCCGAAACACCCUCUGAAGCCUCAGCAUAGCCCUUCCCUGAAAAGUGUCUCUCAAUAGUGGGCAGGCUGUCGUCUGGAGUGACAGCUGUCUAUUCAGGUAGUGGCUGCUAUUGUCUUCACACUUGUAACACCAAGAGGAUUUUUGUUUAAUUUUAAGAAUUCUGACAGCAUCUCAGAAUGUCGUACUCCAAGUGGGUCCAACCCCUCCUCUCAUGGGGAGGGCACAAUGACAUUAGAGUGUACAUUUUUUUCUUUAAAUUGCAGAUGCCUUAAAAUGAGAUUGUCAGGUUUGUUGGCUUGUCAGACUAAAGUAUCAAGAUUGUCACAGUGUAUUAUAUCACUAUAAUAUGAUCAUUGUACACGAAACUAAUGAAUAAUAUUGUACUUAGUGGUGGGAUGGAGUCACAUUAACAUUAAAAACGGUGAGCAGCCUUGCAUUUUACCCAGGAGAAUCUGGGAGGGAUGACUCUACACUGUGGGGUGUCAGGCCAGAAUUUCAUCACCCAGGGGAGGUCAGGAAGCCCUCUUUGGACAGAGAGGUAAGGAGGUGGCCAGCUGAGUGCUGUGUUGGGAACAGCAGAGCAGAAGGGAGGCUGGGGGCUCCUCAGGGAGGCUGAUUGAAGUGUUUGCACCCUAAUAGGUGCACAGAAAAUGGUUUUUAAAGGAAGGCAUAAAUGUCAAUUGCGAGUUUUCUUCACAAUUAGAAUCACAUGCAGCUAAACUAGAAGCAGUUUGAUGAGGAUGCAGUGGAAGCUGCAGUGUCUGCCUUGCUUACGCCCUCAUUGACCAUUAAUUAAUUCAUUCAUUCAUGCAUUUAUUAGAUGUCAAUAAGCCCUACUACGUGCCAGGCACUGUGCCAGGCCCUAUGUCUGUGUAGCAGGCCCAGCCUUGCCUUUGUAAGGCAGGAAAGGCAGCAUUGCAGACACUGAACAAGGACAUGUACAAAACAAUACCGUGAGUCCCUACGGCAUAAGUGCUCUGAAGGAAAGCAGAAGAGGGGAGGCUAACUUAUUUUGAGGGAGUGAUACUGAAGUGAGAUCUCAAAGAGUGAGAGGGAGUUAGGAUGGGAAAGAGCAUUUGAAGCAAUGGAAGCAGAGGCUUAGAGCCCCUGUGAACUGAAGGAAGGUCAGAGGGUCUGGAAGGAAGCAGGAGCACCACAGUCACUAUGUGGGGAAUGUGGCCGCUGGGGUCAGACAGGCCUGAGUUUGAGUUUGGGCCAGUUUACCUCUCUGAGUUGUCAGGGACUAAAUAAUAUCAUCGGUCAAGCCCUCAGCACAGGCCCUGGCCCAUAGUAGAAAUCCCAUACAUGAAAACAAUCAUCAUGGUUACAGGGAGGCAGGCUGGGGAGCUUAUUGCAUGUGGCAGUUUGAAGACACCCAAGUGCUUGUUCUAUGGUACAUGGGCUUUGGGGGGAUACAGCAGGCGAAGGCACAGGUAUGUCAAGGCAUGGCACUGCCAUGUUACCUGAGUUAGGAUGCAGAAGAAAACAGGAGAGUGAGUACUUACAUUGACUCAGGAUAACAAUAUCCCACUGUAAACAUUCAUUUACUUUGUCAGCAUCAAGCAAUGUGUCUUCCUACUGUAGAUUAGAUUGCACGUGACAGUUAGAGAAGUGCCUCCGGGGUUUGCUCCAUUCACAAACUGUACAACCAUACUCAGAAGCCAGGAAUUCAAUACAAAUUCUUUUUUGAGUGCCUGCAAGGUGGUAAAUUUGAAGUCUGUAUUUUUUUCAAGGCAGACUGCUCUUGUGCCUAUUACAGAAAGUCUAUUUCCUAAAAUGGAUAGGAUUUAUAGGCUUUGUCUUUUCCAAAAGAUGCAAGUACAUUCCUCUCACUAAUGUUACUGCAAAUUGCACUCGUAUUUGAAGGAGGAAAGUCUUCCGCAAGAACAGCAACUUAAACAUUUGUACUCAGAGCCCUCGCAGAAGUCAAAUACUUAGGUGUUUGGAGUCUGUGGAGUCAGCUCUGCGUGACCCGUGACCUCUAUUUCUCCACACUCAAGAGCAGCAUGGUAAGAUGCAGUUUGGGAGUUUCCUCAUCUCUCCUACCUCAGCAGCAUAGCAAAGGCUGGUUGAGAUUCAUUUUUCAUGGGUGGGUUGUGAACAUAUUGAUAAAGGAUUAACCUGGGCCUGGUAUUCCAUGAAAACGAUUGAGUGAAAACACAUAUUUUAUUCCACUUGUCUUCAUCUAUCUCUUCCCCUAGUUAUUCUGGAUGUGAGUCAUUGUCAUUGGGAGUGGAGGGUACAUCAUUGGUAUUCCUGCUAGGUAUGACACAGCUUUUUCCCACUAUACUUCCAGAAGAUCACAAGCUCUUAUUUUCUGAGAAUUUUCAUCCGGAGGCAAAGCAUUCACCGGUGGGUUGACUGAGCUUUGUAACCAAAAUGGCUGAACAAAUGAGAUGUGGGAAUUCUAAACUGGCUUAUCACUUCAAAAUGCAUAAGCCAGGGAGUGCUGGGGAGGGGAGAAGAGGGAAGAAGCAGGAAGAGAGCAGACACAGGGUGGAGACUCACCAGUCCUGCCAGGUGGGGCUUUGUCUGGUCCGGACUGUCUCUGGUACGAGAGGGCACAUGCACAUUCUCACGCAGCUCCACUCUCCCUGGCCUUCAAGCCUGCUGCCCCCGAGCUCCUUUUACAGUGCCAGGUCUGAGUGUGGCUGAAAGAGCCAUCUGCAGAGCCUGCUCCAUGCACAUGGUCAGCUCUUUGUGGAAGCUGCUUACUGGGGGGACUUUAGAACUCAGCCUUUUUGUCCCACGGACCGCAUACUUCUGUGGGUUUUUUCCCCCUAAAUUGAACCACUCCUGUCCCUAAUUGUGUCACUCCUGCUGUCACCUCUAGCCAUCAGAGCCAGUGGCAUGGUUCUGAUUGUGUUGCAAUGUGUCCUUGAAGCAUUCUUUUUGUUUGUGUUCAAUGGCUCUCCUUCAGCUCACAACACAGUGGUGGCAAUGGUUUCCUAGGGUCACCCAUUCUCCUCUGAGGACCAGCCCAGAAAAGCUCAGUCGUAAUGAACGGGGCUUCAGACGGAUGGACACACACAUGGGCUUGAGAGCCCUCCUGGCUUUGGCCACUCUAACAAGAUUUUGUCAUUUGUGGCUUUUGCACAUUGGAAAAACUUUCAUCUCUGAGUUUCUAUGGGCUAUAAAUACUUGGUAGGUUAAAAAGGAAUCAUUCAGAACAUGAAAUAAACAUAACCUGGCACGUACACAGCAACACACCUCAACGGAGCCCUUCAACUUCUAGGCCAGAGCUGCAGGAAUCGGAGCCGGGGCUUCCUUCAUCCCGUCUCGCAUUCACUUCCCUCCCGGGCUGGGCACUGCUCUGGUUUCUGACCUCUUUUGGUUGGAUAUUUUCCUAAUGAGGCAGGAGGAUGAGGUCUCCAUGUUCCUUACGCCUUUUAACCACAGAGUGAAAACUGUUGAUUUUGUUGGCAUUGGGGAAAAUGUUUAGAAUGUAUGGAAAACAUGUUAUGGAUAUUAUAUAUCUACCAUAAACCAAGAAAAGAGUCUGGCAGAGGGAAAUUCUAUGUUGAUUAGGAAAAGUCACCACGAUCCUGGUCUUUAUGGCUUUAUUUUUUUUCUAAACAAUUGCUUUAUUCUUUUUUUCAGAAUAUAAAAGAAAGGCUAAGAAAAAGAAAAACCAAUCAUGUCUUUCAAAGAUAGCAUUCUUAACAUCUUGGUCCUGUGCUUUUUUAAAAAAAAAAAAUUGAGGUAAAUGUACAUAAAGAAAGAUGCAUAAAUCAUAAGUGAACAUCUCAACAUUUAAAAAAUCCUAAAAAUUAUGUAUACCCAUGUCACCACCCCCUAGAUCAAAACAUUUCGUGUACUCUAGCAAACUCUGUUGUGUCUGUUCUUAGAAAUAUCCACUCAGAAGUCUCUCCCCCAUGGCUGGCCAUGGUGGCUUAUGCCCAUAAUCCUAGCACUUUGGGAGGCUGAGGUGAGAGGAUCACUUGAGCUUAGGAGUGCGAGACCAGCCUGGGAAACAUGGUGAAAUGUUGUUUCUACCAAAAAUACAAAAAUUAGCCAGAUGUGGUGGCACAUGCCUGUCAUCCCAGGUACUCAGGAGGCUGAGGUGCAGGGAUGGCUGGAGCCUGGGAGGUCGAGGCUGCAGUGAGCUGAAAUUGUGCCACUGCACUCCAGCCUGGGCAACACAGCGAGACCCUGUUUCAAACAAACAAACAAGCAAACAAACAAAAAAGCAAAAACAACAAGAACAACAAAAGAAGUCUCUCCCCUAGAGGGAAUCACCUUCUGAUUUCAGGCUUAUCCUUUUGUCACCGGUUGAGGGUGGCCGGGUUCUUGGCAUCUUGAACAAAGAAUUGAACAAAACACACAAAGCAAGGAAGGAAUGAAGAGGUUUACUGAAAAUGAAAGUACACUCCACAGUGUGUGGAGUGGACCCAAGCAUAGGGGCUCAAGGGCCCCGUUACAGAAUUUUGGGGAAUUUAAAUACCCUCUAGAGGAUUCCAUUGGCUACUUGGGGUACACCCUAUGUAAAUGAGGAGGAUGAAGUAAAGUUACAAAGUUGUUUAUUGUGGAGAGGAUAUUUGCUGUCGUAGCUGAAGGGUGAAUCAGCCUUAUGUUCCCUGCCUCCAGACCCUGUUUUCAUGCCAUAUAUAUAUAUAUAUAUAUAUAUAUAUAUAGCUAUAUAUAGUAUUUGCAUACAUUGUUCUUUCUAUAUUUAACUUUUAUACUUUAUUUUAUGUAUAUCACACAUUUUAACAAAAAUGUAUCAAACUACUCAUACGGUAUUACAAUCUGAUCCUCUCACUUUAAAUAAAUUUUUAUUAUAUAAUAUUUAUGAAAUAAAAUUUGGUACAGUAUUACUACAUAAUAUAAUAAAAUGUCACAUUUAUGUGAUAUAUAAAUAUAUAAAUUAUAUAAUUAUCACUUUAUAUAUUAUCUUUCUGUCAAUAAAUAUAAAACGAAACCAUCACUUUGAAUGACUGCAUCCUAUUGUUGAGUAUGGCAUAAUUUGUAAACUACUUUCCUGCUAAUGAACAUUUUAGCAUUGUUCCUUUGUGAUUAUAUUUUUAAAUUGCCAUUAGGGUGACAUCUAUGAAUGGAUUUAUUCCAAAGGCUUUGUAAUCCUAUUUUACUGUUAUUAACUGUGAGUAUUAAUGCUUCUACAUUUUAUAUUGUCCAUCUCUUUUUGUUCCAUUUCUUUCCCUAGCAUAUAUUCAUCUUGUGGCUCGUGCUAAAGGACAGUGUGUGAAUGUGUGUGUGCCUGUGCACACGCAUGCACGCAUGCAUGCCUGUGUACAUACAUUCUAUGUUGUUAUUGUUAUUCUAGUGGUCCCAAUACAGCCCAGCCUUGGAGCAGGAGAUGUAAAGUAUGUUUGCAUCCACACAGCAUGUCAUAUAGCUUUAAAAGUCAUUAAAGAAAUUC
rnacentral:lncRNA from 1 species